AUGAAUAACAAUUUACUAACAUUUUAUUGUGAGUGGCACAGAAGACCAAAUUUGAAUGCAAAUCCCUGAAUUAGAGCAAGCCAACGUGUUCUACCACUGUAGCCAGGAGUCAGCGCUCUUCCAAGACAGCCUUUCACCAUAAGGGUAAACUGUGGAAGAAGAUCCAGUCUUCACAUUUGCAUACCACUGUGGUAUGCAAAGGAGAAAGGGUUUGUGUUUCAGAGUUCCCCCCAAAAGUCCUGAGAUUCACUCCAUUGGACAGGCAUAGGAGAUGCGCCUGCCCAUGAGUAGACGGCCAGAAAGAUGAAAUGUUCUGACUAGCUUGUCUGAAUUCAUGUUUGACUCACGGGUCUGAGAGACAAGUAAGUGCACCUAAAACCCAUGGGUCUCCAAUGGAAAUAGAGGGUUGCUUGAAACGUGGGACAUGAGAAAUAGAUGGUGAGAAGGAAAAGAAAGUGGCUACUACAAAAGAAUAAAGAAGGGAUCCUGGAUUCUUUCACAGCACUGAGAAGGAAGCAACCUUGCUACAACUUGAUUUUGGACUUCUAGACUCCAAAACGUGAAAGUAUACACUUGAAGGUAAUCAGGACUUCCCUGGUGGCGCAGUGGUUAAGAAUCCACCUGCCAACGUGAGGGACACGGGUUCAAGCCCUGAUCUGGGAAGAUCCCACAAG